GAUGAAGAACGCAGCGAAAUGCGAUAAGUAAUGUGAAUUGCAGAAUUUAGUGAAUCAUCGAAUGUUUGAACGCACAUUGCGCCCCCUGGCAUCCCGGGGGGCAUGCCUGUUCGAGCGUCAUUUCAACCCUCAAGCACAGCUUGGUCUUGGGCUUCGCCGCUAACCCGGCGGGUCUUAAAAUCAGUGGCGGUGCCGUCGGGCCCUGAGCGCAGUAAUCUCUCUCGCUAUAGGGUCCCGGCGGAUGCUGGCCAGUAACCCCCAAUUUUCUAUGGUUGACCUCGGAUCAGGUAGGGAUACCCGCUGAACUUAAGCAUAUCAAUAAGCGGAGGA
rnacentral:misc_RNA from 1 species